rnacentral:piRNA from 1 species
UCUGAAUGGACUAAGCGAACAACAAAAGCA